UACGUAGGGGGCUAGCGUUGUCCGGAAUCAUUGGGCGUAAAGAGCGCGUAGGCGGCCAGAUAAGUCCGGUGUGAAAGUCAAAGGCUCAACCUUUGAAUGCCGCUGGAAACUGUCUGGCUAGAGUCCGGGAGGGGCGAGUGGAAUUCCUGGUGUAGCGGUGAAAUGCGUAGAUAUCUGGAGGAACACCGGUGGCGAAGGCGGCAUCCUGGACCGGUAUUGACGCUGAGGCGCGAAAGCCAGGGAGAGCAAACGGG
rnacentral:rRNA from 1 species